UACGUAGGGUGCAAGCGUUGUCCGGAAUUAUUGGGCGUAAAGAGCUCGUAGGCGGCUUGUCACGUCGGGUGUGAAAGCCCGGGGCUUAACCCCGGGUCUGCAUUCGAUACGGGCUAGCUAGAGUGUGGUAGGGGAGAUCGGAAUUCCUGGUGUAGCGGUGAAAUGCGCAGAUAUCAGGAGGAACACCGGUGGCGAAGGCGGAUCUCUGGGCCUUACCUGACGCUGAGGAGCGAAAGCAUGGGGAGCAAACAGG
rnacentral:rRNA from 1 species